rnacentral:rRNA from 1 species
GACGAACGCUGGCGGCGUGCCUAAUACAUGCAAGUCGAACGAACCGCGACUAGGUGCUUGCACUUGGUCAAGGUGAGUGGCGAACGGGUGAGUAGCACGUGGGUAACCUACCUCAUAGUGGGGGAUAACAGUCGGAAACGACUGCUAAUACCGCAUAGGACAUAGGAUCACAUGAUUCUGUGAGGAAAGGUGGCGCAAGCUAUCGCUAAGAGAUGGACCCGCGGUGCAUUAGCUAGUUGGUAGGGUAAAGGCCUACCAAGGCGAUGAUGCAUAGCCGACCUGAGAGGGUGAUCGGCCACAUUGGGACUGAGACACGGCCCAAACUCCUACGGGAGGCAGCAGUAGGGAAUCUUCCGCAAUGGACGCAAGUCUGACGGAGCAACGCCGCGUGAGUGAAGAAGGUCUUCGGAUCGUAAAGCUCUGUUGUUAGAGAAGAACAGCGCAUAGAGUAACUGUUAUGCGUGUGACGGUAUCUAACCAGAAAGCCACGGCUAACUACGUG